rnacentral:lncRNA from 1 species
CUGAGUCGAACUAAAUCUAAUUCAAUUAGAUUUGUUCCAAAGCUCUUUACUCAAUCAAAUUGAGUCAAUUUAGUAAUCUAAUUACUAUUUAAUUCUAAAUAAAUGGUAGAGUCCUAGUCCUAGUGGGACUCUCCCAUAGAGUUUUAGUCCAAGUAGGACUCUUCACUAGAGUCACAAUCCAAUUGGACUUUUCAGCUAUC